GGAUGAGAAGGCACACAGUGUUGUCCCUUCAGAGACGCACAGGCAUAGGUUCCCCAGCACGUUUAACGCACGGAGCUGAGAGGAGCAGCAGCGUGCAGGCUUCCCCGCCAGGCUGACUUGGUACCCGGUGCUCCAGUGCUUAAAGUCUGCUUCUUUUCAAAGUUGCAAAGUGCCCAGUCUGAAAAUUUGGACAACUGUAGCCCACCCUGAUCAAGAGCCAAAUAUAUGCCAGAACUUGUUUCAUGGAGAAGAUGAAAAGAAACUGAUUAACUUCUAACAAGACGGAUGAAAUGACUUUGUGUAAGACACAGAAACAUUGCACAGAUGCUGCCACCAAUUUUAUGCUCACAAGGAUAUUUUCAGAGGAAUUUGAGUAAGUAAAAUGCAAUGCACCAAAAGCAAGGGAAACAGAGAGUGCUCUGUUCAGUGUCCACUCAACUGCAAAUUAAAGCCAUUGUCAAGAGGGAAAUAUGAUCUCAGUGCUGUUGUGUGAAUGCAUGAACAUGCCAGGGGGCGCUAAAUAUUCUCAAUGAU